rnacentral:rRNA from 1 species
GAUGAACGCUGGCGGCGUGCCUAAUACAUGCAAGUCGAGCGAACAGACGAGGAGCUCGCUCCUCUGACGUUAGCGGCGGACGGGUGAGUAACACGUGGAUAACCUACCUAUAAGACUGGGAUAACUUCGGGAAACCGGAGCUAAUACCGGAUAACAUGUUGAACCGCAUGGUUCAACAGUGAAAGACGGUCUUGCUGUCACUUAUAGAUGGAUCCGCGCCGCAUUAGCUAGUUGGUAAGGUAACGGCUUACCAAGGCAACGAUGCGUAGCCGACCCGAGAGGGUGAUCGGCCACACUGGAACUGAGACACGGUCCAGACUCCUACGGGAGGCAGCAGUAGGGAAUCUUCCGCAAUGGGCGAAAGCCUGACGGAGCAACGCCGCGUGAGUGAAGAAGGUCUUCGGAUCGUAAAACUCUGUUAUUAGGGAAGAACAAAUGUGUAAGUAACUAUGCACGUCUUGACGGUACCUAACCAGAAAGCCACGGCUAACUACGUG